AUUGAACGCUGGCGGCAUGAUUUACACAUGCAAGUCGAACGGUAACAGGCCGCAAGGUGCUGACGAGUGGCGAACGGGUGAGUAAUGCAUCGGAACGUGCCCAGUCGUGGGGGAUAACUACUCGAAAGAGUAGCUAAUACCGCAUACGAUCUAUGGAUGAAAGCGGGGGACCGUAAGGCCUCGCGCGAUUGGAGCGGCCGAUGUCAGAUUAGGUAGUUGGUGGGUAAAGGCUCACCAAGCCAACGAUCUGUAGCUGGUCUGAGAGGACGACCAGCCACACUGGGACUGAGACACGGCCCAGACUCCUACGGGAGGCAGCAGUGGGGAAUUUUGGACAAUGGGCGCAAGCCUGAUCCAGCAAUGCCGCGUGCAGGAAGAAGGCCUUCGGGUUGUAAACUGCUUUUGUACGGAACGAAACGGCUCUGGUUAAUACCCGGGGCUAAUGACGGUACCGUAAGAAUAAGCACCGGCUAACUACGUG
rnacentral:rRNA from 1 species